rnacentral:rRNA from 1 species
GAAAAAGAUACUGGGUCGAUGGCGUGUCCUCAUUCCCCAAUCCCCAUCCCUCCCUCUCCCUCUCCAUCUCCCUCGUCUGCCGCUGCCCUCCCCAUAGCCGCUACCACCACCGGCGCCCUGCCCCAUAGCUGGCGCCCCCACUCCUUCCCCCUCCCCUUAGGCUAUCCCCACCACUGAUGACCUCCUUGCCUCCUCCUCGCCCCAGAUCAAGCAGCUGGUCCGGAUCCGAUGCAGGCUCUGGCACGCCCAUGGCUCUGCUUCCGCCAUCGGCCGGAGGAACGCAGACGGAAUAUGCCGUCGCCAUCGCACAUUCUUCCUCCUCCGCUACCGGUCCUCUGCCCCUCCCCUCUUCUCCCCACGGGAUAGCCAAGGGCCCACCUUGUGCUCAGGGAUGGGAAAAAGAUGGAGGGGCCGCCGGCAGGUGUGGAUGAGGAGAUCCACCACAAACAACCUGAGGUUAUUCGCCUGUCCAUGCUGCUAUUAUAGAGGCGGACGCCGUGGCCGCUGUUUCCUCUGCACACGCAUUGGCCAUCCCAGAAUGUGACCCUAUGCGUGGUGGUGGGGUAUGAUAUGAUCAAGGUCUCCGAGCAGCUCUGCAAAUCAGGAAUUUAUUAACUUAACGCUUCGUUGCAUUGCAGACUUGGAUAUCCCCAUUAAAAGGUCAGUGCAGAAUCAUGUCUUACAAUUCCUACCGGUGCUAGCUCUUUAUUUGGAGAGUAAAUGUUUGCUCAGGGAUACAUUCAUAGAGUUCCUGAGCGCAAUGAUGUGUCACCUACAGGAAGAAACUGUAGUCAAGAAGAACGUGAUCAUUUGAGAAGUAUGAUAAGGUACAUAACAUUCAGCCUGAAAUGGUGUUGGUGUUUCGCAAAAAGUAUGGCCACUUGAACCUGACUUUUUCUAUUGGAGAGCAGAUCAGUUCUGAUAACAGAAGAUCCACACUAAACAUAGCAUGUCCAUCAGAGGAGCAAAUGUUGUUUAUCACUGCAUCUCUUCACAUGUUGGCAAGCCUGAUAUCUAUGAAGGCACUAUACAAGGUGGUGGCGCCGUACCUGCUUGGUGCGGACAGGAGAAGAUGCAGGGGCUCCGCUUCUCGACCUCGUCGACAUCAUCGUGCCCCUCCACCGCUGGUUUUGUUACUCAGGCGGCACUACGGCUCUACUAUGGCAGGCCUGCUUGUGGCUCAGGUGGGACUGCAGAUCUUCCGAAGCUUCUUUUUUUUGUGCUAUCUCGUUAUUUUGUUUGUUUUGUGGCCGUGAUUGGAAAGCUUGCUACUCCUUCUGAAGUAUCAUUGUUGCUGCUUGAUUUGUUCCACUUUCUUUGGGAUUAUCAGUUGGUGUGCUUGUAAUAUUAAUUUAUUGCAUCGAGCAUGGAGUAUCCUUUUUCUCUUGGAAAAUGUUUGAUCCUAGGGCUUUUUACUUGCAUAUACUAGAUCAAAUGAAGUUCAUUAGGAGGGACGCAAAACAACCAGGCAUGAUCUACCACUUUGCUCCUAACCGCUUGAGCGAGGCAAUGGGAAAGGCGAACACAACUACCUGCCUCCUUCGGGCAACAACUUUGGUCCCUGCCACCUCCGUCGUCUGCUCCGGCGACUAGCGGGUGGGGACCCUGGGGGUUCGGCUCCGACUGUAGAUAGAGUUACAACUUAAUGUUUUCCAUACAAUUUCCUAUGUGUACCUAUGAUCUGUGGAACUCCGCCUUUGCUUUUUGAGACUGCUAAAUCUUCUGGUCAUGCAUCUCUGAUCAAGACUGGCCCUUCUAUGUUAGCAAACCUAUUAGUAUCUAUCAAACUAUCUUCUGCUUUAUGAAUGGACACCGCUUGUUGAUAUUUCUAGCAUAUACUUGAUGAAAUAUGCAUAAAUAUGUGUUCUUUAUUAUAGGUUUACAGAAGAAUCAAGGAUCAGUUCAAUGGGAAUUGAUGAAUCCCAGCGUUUCUUGCUUUUUUCUGUUAUUAGAGAGUAGGAAACGUUGACACUUGAGGAAUCGCCAUGGUUAUUUACGCAUACCAAGGAAUCCUACCAAGAGAGCCUUGGUGAUGGGGUCACAAAGGACAGCAGCAGCAGCAGAAAGAACAUUAACACCUCUAUCUGAAAAACAUCACUAAUUGUUAGCUUUUGGUAGGAAGACAUGUACGUAACCUAAGAUCAGAGUUUAACUAGAUAUAUAUACAACCUAAAGCAAAUCAAGGUUCAGAGAGGCACACUUACCUUUGGCAGCAGCUUUUUCUUGCUGUUGAUGUUGAUGAACACAGCAGUCACACGAAUAGAUAAAGCAUACAUAGAAGGAGGAGUUGUCCAAUAAAACUGACGCAUGUUGACAGUUCAUCGAGUUCUCUUAAGAUGAUAUAAUUGUUUGGUAGACGCAUGGAUGGAUGGACACGUACAGCUAGCAGCCUAGCAGUAGUGCUAGUCACAAAAGAAAAACCUUGUGAUUGAUUCAUGGUCAUGGCACAACAACAAUGGAUACUUGCUAAUUGGUGAUGGUGGUCGUGCCGCCGCCGCCGCCUUCGGCACCAUCCCAGCUCGCAGCCUCAGUCGAUUUGCUCUGCGUCUCCAACCGUCCAAAGAUCCCAACCCUAUCAUCGUCUCCUACCACGAGCUCGGCAACGAGAUCGGACACGGCAAGUUCGGCUCCGUUCGGAUCUAUGCCGUUCAAGAGGUUCGUGCUGAUCGGGUGGGUGGCCCUGGUGAACUACGGCAAGGACUACGGCCGCCUCGUCGUCAUCGUCGACGUUGUUGACCAGAACAGGAACGUCGAGGACACGGUCCACCGCGAGGUCGAGAUCAUGCAACACCUCUCGGGCCACCCCGCCGUCGUCACGCUGAAGGCCGUCUGCGGUGGUUGCAAAUCGAAGCAGCUGAAAGGGACAAGGCGAUUGGGAGUCAGGGACUACAUAUCCCUCCUCUCCUUGAUUUUCUGUCCAAAAUAUAAGGAAGACGUAUGGGUUCUCGUCAAAUGCAAGCUGUACUACUGUGAAAAAGUGUACUAAUUUUUGCAGUGCAUUAACUUGAUCAUGGGAUUCUCCGUGAUGGCAGCAAAGAGACAACAUGGGGUGGAGAUGCAGGUCGUCAGUACACUGAAGGCGUUGCGUUCUGUCAGGGCGUUGGGUUCGAUGCAGAGCAUCGGAGACGUUGCCGUUGUCCUUGCACGACUCAUCAGAUCCAACCCCGGGCCCGCGCCAGCUAUGUACGGAGCCCUCGAUACGGUGCUCAGUCUCUGCAACUGCAACUCGAUGCCUUGCAUGAAGCUGCCAGCUAUUGAGGACCUCUCUUAAUUACCCAGUUCUGAAUGGAGUCAGUUGAGGUCGUCUAUAAAUUUCCUUGUGAUGUGCUUGCAAACCAAGACUUUGUUGAGGCUUUUCUGCGGGGUCAGGGGAGACGCCAGUGAUCAAGCGGCAGCGGCCUACAGCCUGGGAGACCUGCACAAGGGAGCCGCCAAGAUCUCCAACGACAUCCUCGACUCUGUCGGGGUUUCAUUAUAUGCAACAACAAAAAAUUUGACAACAGUAUACGCGACAAAUGGUGCUAUUUGCGUUUGCUGCAAUCUCCUCAUACUUACCAGGGUUGAGUGCCCAACAUUCCCGAAGAUGGCACCCGAGACGUGUCCUCAGCCAGAAGCAGCGAAGUUGCCGUACAAGAAGCUGGGAGAUUCAGAUCUCCUUAUUAGCGAGAUAACUCUUAGAACAAUGAUCUUUGGAUAGCAAAGAACAGAGAAGGAAUCCCAUGAUAUGCUCUCUUAUUCUUUUAAUCAGGGCAUCAACAUACUGGACACCGCAGAAAUUGCCGGCUAGAUAGGUAUGUCGCACGUUACGGUGAAUUCAGUUACAAUUCAACCAAAUGGAGGCCAAGCGUCCCAUGUGUGGAUCAAUGGAAAGCUUUCAGGAACUAAUUGGUAAAGGGAAGGUACAAUAUAUCGGUGUUUCCAAUGAAACCACGUACGGAGUAAUGCAGUUUGUACAUGCUGCAAAGCUUGAUGGACUUCCAAAGAUUAUGAGCAUCUAGAAUGGUUAUAGUCAACUUGUGAGAUGCAGCUUCGAAGGUGAAGCGGAGAUGUCAGCCAUAAUUUAUUCAUUUUCAUUCACUGGAAUUCCAUGCCAUCCCUGUUGUUUUGAAACUUAUUUGCAGACAUGUAAUUUAGAGAAAGAGGGAGGAAAGAACUCCUCGGUUGUAGUUCAGAUCAUCGGCCUGCUGUCAUCUCUUUCAUAAUUAAAAUUUUAGUUGAAUAGUCUUGGCUUCUUAUUAGGUCUUUGGAGUUAUGUUCAGUGGUUAUCAUUCAUCAUCAUCAUGAGAUGAUUUCAUUUUGUGGAUGCUUGAGUUUAGAAAAUUUAGGCUUUGCAGUCCAUCAUCUCUAUAGGUAUAAGUCUUUGUAGGAUGUAAGACUGCUACUCUAUGUUCAUAUAAGCCUACCUAUUAAUAAUAUUUCUG